rnacentral:lncRNA from 1 species
UGUACCACAUUUUCUUUAUCCAUUCAUCUGCUGAUGGGCACUUUGGUUGCUUCCAAAUCUUGGCUAUAGUGGAUAGUGCUGCAAUAAACAUGGGAAUGCAGAUAUCUCUUUGGCAUGCCAAUUUUCUUUUUUUGGGGUAUAUACUGAGGAGUAGGAUUUCUGGAUCAUAUGGUAACUCUAUUUUUAGUUUUUGAGGACCCUUUAUGCUGUUCUCCAUAGUGGCUGGACUAACCAUGUUUUCCUUUAGUAGUUUUAUAGUUUGAGGCACUAUAUUUUAUUUCUAAAUUUAUUUCUAAGAUGGUCCAAUUACUAUAGGAAGUUAGUUUGAGAUGAACCCCCUGUCUUGUGGGGAAUUCCUUGUGCCCCUGUCCCUCAAGCAUGUUUCUAAGGGACUUGCACUUCUUGUACUUAGCUCUCCCUCAGAACUUCUGCUUCCAUUAAAUUUUUAGCCCUCCUGUAUCAAGGCUGCGAGCCAUUAUGGGCAGACUUGAGUUAUCCUGCAAGACAAACAGGUUUAAGAACAUAAAGAAGCUCUUAGUUGAUUUGAAACUUGUGGAGCUUGAGAUGCAAGUAGAAGAUACGUAGGAAGAUAGGCAUGUCUUGCAAAAGGCAAGUGCGGAGCUGGAGU